rnacentral:RNase_P_RNA from 2 species
CUAGUGUUAAUCUCGCACUUGGAGCAUCCACACGAGUAUCAAUGAUUACUCUCUCAUCGUACUGCUUCGGGAAGGUCUGAGAUGAAGCAAUUUAUGUCUCAGCAAGACGGUUUCUUAACAGAAACGUGGUACAACCAGAAAAGCAGUGUGCGAUCUUGAGCUUGGUGCGUGGUAUGCCAGUCUGGACGUCUUGGCAAUAGCCAAGAAUUUCCGGCAAACCAUAUCUACCAAUUUUCUAGUUGGAAUUGUACUUUUGCUGGCAUUUUGAGCAAAAUCUGCGAGCUGUGUUUACGCUUAUACUGUUUCUUUCGGAGCGUGUAUUGCGUGAACACAGAACUCAAUUCAGAUUAUUCUAAUACUAG